GGGGAUGUAGCUUAGUGGUAAAGCCUCUGCCUUCCAAGCAGAUGAUGCGGGUUCGAUUCCCGUCAUCCCCU
rnacentral:tRNA from 5 species